rnacentral:rRNA from 1 species
AUUGAACGCUGGCGGCAUGCCUUACACAUGCAAGUCGAACGGUAACAGGUCUUCGGAUGCUGACGAGUGGCGAACGGGUGAGUAAUACAUCGGAACGUGCCUAGUAGUGGGGGAUAACUACUCGAAAGAGUGGCUAAUACCGCAUGAGAUCUACGGAUGAAAGCAGGGGAUCGCAAGACCUUGUGCUACUAGAGCGGCAGGUGGCAGAUUAGGUAGUUGGUGGGAUAAAAGCUUACAAAGCCGACGAUCUGUAGCUGGUCUGAGAGCACGAUCAGCCACACUGGGACUGGGACACGGCCCAGACUCCUACGGGAGGCAGCAGUGGGGAAUUUUGGACAAUGGGCGAAAGCCUGAUCCAGCAAUGCCGCGUGCAGGAUGAAGGCCUUCGGGUUGUAAACUGCUUUUGUACGGAACGAAAAGCCCCGGGUUAAUACCCUGGGGUCAUGACGGUACCGUAAGAAUAAGCACCGGCUAACUACGUGCCAGCCGCCGCCGUAA